GCUGGCGGGGGGGCCCGUGCCAGCUGUGCCUGUGCCUGCCCGGGGGGGCCGUGCGCUGCGUCCCCUACUGUCCCCUCCGCGAGUCCGGCUGUCCCCAGGGCCAGGCGCUGCGGGAAGGGGACGCCGGCUCCUGCUGCUCCUGCGGCCCCGCCGGUGACAACGCCGCGGCCACCCAGCCCGGGAUGACGACGGCGCUGUCC